AUCAAUUGCGGCACGCAGGAAGGCAGUGCCAGUGGCAGUGGAUCUCUAUGGCAGUCCAAGUCUGACUAUACCUAUGUUUGUUCAGCUCAUUUCAUAUCAGGAAAGAAAAGCAACAUCAAGUAUCAUCCUGACCUAUGUUCCGUCAAUACUCCCUCAGCCUCAGUCGGACUCACCGAGAAAGCAGAAAUUGAGUAGAUGCAACAGAGCCCUAAGCAGAAAGAAAAUAGGAGCGCCUGUCACCUUCGACACAAAGCAAGCAUUCCACUGGCAUAUUUCAUCCGUGCAGGCUGAACUCGUGUACCCUAACC